AUUGAACGCUGGCGGCAUGCUUUACACAUGCAAGUCGAACGGCAGCGCGGGCUUCGGCCUGGCGGCGAGUGGCGAACGGGUGAGUAAUGCAUCGGAACGUGCCCAGUAGUGGGGGAUAGCCCGGCGAAAGCCGGAUUAAUACCGCAUACGACCUGAGGGUGAAAGCGGGGGACCGAAAGGCCUCGCGCUAUUGGAGCGGCCGAUGUCGGAUUAGCUAGUUGGUGGGGUAAAGGCUUACCAAGGCGACGAUCCGUAGCUGGUCUGAGAGGACGACCAGCCACACUGGGACUGAGACACGGCCCAGACUCCUACGGGAGGCAGCAGUGGGGAAUUUUGGCCAAAGGGGGCAACCCUGAUCCAGCCAUGCCGCGUGCGGGAAGAAGGCCUUCGGGUUGUAAACCGCUUUUGUUCGGGAAGAAAUCCUCUGGGCUAAUACCCCGGGGGGAUGACGGUACCGGAAGAAUAAGCACCGGCUAACUACGUG
rnacentral:rRNA from 1 species